rnacentral:miRNA from 1 species
UCAUCCUUGCGUCGUUUAUCU